CUCAGAUCCACAGCUGCCCAGGAUUGUGGGAGUGAGCUGUGAGAAUAAGCCUCAUUCUCAGUUCAAGGUCUUACUCAGAAAAGAUGGCAGUGAUGAAUAUCAGCCCACACACGGACAAACUGGGAUGACACUGAACGGAGAGAAAUAUGUGCCACAGAUCUCAGUCCCUGAGUCACAGAAGAAGGAGCCCCAGCGGACAGAGA